CACUGCCCGGUAGCUAAAUGCGGAAGAGAUAAGUGCUGAAAGCAUCUAAGCACGAAACUUGCCCCGAGAUGAGUUCUCCCUGAGACUUAAAGUCUCCUGAAGGAACGUUGAAGACGACGACGUUGAUAGGCCGGGUGUGUAAGCGCAGCGAUGCGUUGAGCUAACCGGUACUAAUGAACCGUGAGGCUUAACCUUACAACGCCGAAG
rnacentral:rRNA from 1 species